rnacentral:rRNA from 1 species
UGCAGUCGACGAGCUUGAGGACUUCGGUUCUCAGGUUAGUGGCGCACGGGUGCGUAACGCGUAUGCAACCUACCUCUCACUGGGGGAUAGCCCGAGGAAACUCGGAUUAAUACCGCAUAAGAUAGCUGACCUGGCAUCAGGUUGUUAUUAAAGCUUUGGCGGUGGGAGAUGGGCAUGCGUGCCAUUAGCUAGUUGGUAGUGUAACGGACUACCAAGGCUUCGAUGGCUAGGGGCUCUGAGAGGACGGUCCCCCACACUGGUACUGAGACACGGACCAGACUCCUACGGGAGGCAGCAGUAGGGAAUAUUGGGCAAUGGCCGCGAGGCUGACCCAGCCAUGCCGCGUGCAGGAUGAAGGCCUUCUGGGUUGUAAACUGCUUUUAUCAGGGAAGAAAACGCUCCUGCGGGAGUAACUGACGGUACCUGAUGAAUAAGCACCGGCUAACUCCGUGCCAGCAGCCGCGGUAAUACGGAGGGUGCAAGCGUUGUCCGGAUUUAUUGGGUUUAAAGGGUGCGUAGGCGGCCCGUUAAGUCAGCGGUGAAAUCCCAGGGCUCAACCCUGGAACUGCCGUUGAUACUGGCGGGCUUGAGUUUGGUCGAGGCGGGCGGAACUGGUGGUGUAGCGGUGAAAUGCAUAGAUACCACCAAGAACCCCGAUUGCGUAGGCAGCUCGCUAGGCCAAAACUGACGCUGAGGCACGAAAGCGUGGGGAGCGAACAGGAUUAGAUACCCUGGUAGUCCACGCCGUAAACGAUGAGUACUCGAUGUCGGCGACACACGGCCGGCGU